GUUUCCCUACGGGGGGCAGCAGUGAGGAAUAUUGGUCAAUGGCCGAGAGGCUGAACCAGCCACGUCGCGUGAGGGAAGACGGCCCUACGGGUUGUAAACCUCUUUUGUCGGGGAGCAAAGCGAACCACGUGUGGUUCAUUGAGAGUACCCGAAGAAAAAGCAUCGGCUAACUCCGUGCCAGCAGCCGCGGUAAUACGGAGGAUGCGAGCGUUAUCCGGAUUUAUUGGGUUUAAAGGGUGCGUAGGCGGCUUUUUAAGUCAGCGGUAAAAUGUCCGGGCUCAACCCUCGCCGGCCGU
rnacentral:rRNA from 1 species